UCACGAUCACACAACAAUAAUGAAUGGAAACACGUCGUAGCCAAGAAAGUUGAGCAGCAACUUAAAGUAACUGAUGCUUUGAAAGUUGACUGUCGCGAGGGGGAAUCCGUUUUAAGAGAUGGAUUGGCCAGGCAAAGUAGAAACUACUUGCUGGAAGAGAAAGCAUCUGCACUUUGAUUGUUACUUUUGAAACUAUCCGUUUUUUAAGGGACGCUACUGUGGAGCACACUGUAAACCCAAACGCGUGAGUAAAGUGUAAAUGGCAUUUUGGGACAGUGAGACGAGACUACUGCACUGUCAGCGGUUUAUCUCGUUUUGGAGAAGUGGAUUAUUUGGAUUAAUCCGUUCAUGAAGUUGCUGGAAUAUUAGGGAGAUUUUUGAUUUUUGUUUUGCUUGGAUUAUCACCACUGGAAGACACUUCAGGAUUCAAGUCGACCGGAGGAUACGGCACAUCUGGGGGUGGGGGGAAAUGGGUAAUAUAGAAAGUGUGGAUGGCCAGUCGGAGAUGAAGCAUCACAUCAUGCCUCUAAAGGUUGCCAUGCCUGACCCCACUGAGCUGGAGGAGAAAUUUGCCAUUGUUUUGAAUUCUAUGAAUCUGCCUCCAGACAAAGCGCGGCUCCUCAGGCAGUAUGACAAUGAGAAGAAGUGGGACCUGAUCUGCGACCAGGAGAGGUUUCAGGUGAAGAAUCCGCCUCACACCUACAUCCAGAAGCUACGAGGAUACUUAGACCCCGGAGUCACUCGGAAGAAGUUUCGCAGACGGGUGCAGGAAUCUACCAAAGUCUUGAGGGAGCUGGAGAUCUCACUGAGGACAAACCACAUUGGGUGGGUCAGGGAGUUCCUCAAUGAUGAGAACAGAGGUCUUGACGUCCUGGUGGAGUACCUCUCCUUUGCACAGUGUGCUGUCAUGUUGGAUUUUGAGGGGCUGGAAAAUGGGGAGGAUGGCUUCUUGGAUAAAGCUAAAUCUUGGAGCAGGUCCAUAGAGGAUCUGCACCAUUCCAGCACCCAACCCUUCUGCAACACACUGGUGCGCUCUGCCCGCCAGUCUGUCCUCCGCUACGGCACGGUUUCCAGCAGCAAAACCAUCAAGAACUCCCGCAUCGUGAGCCAAAAAGAUGAUGUGCAUGUGUGCAUCAUGUGCUUGAGAGCAAUCAUGAAUUACCAGUAUGGCUUCAAUAUGGUCAUGUCUCACGCACACGCAGUCAAUGAAAUUGCUCUCAGCUUGAACAAUAAGAACUCACGGACGAAAGCCUUGGUCCUCGAGCUGCUGGCUGCCGUUUGUCUAGUCCGAGGAGGUCACGAGAUCAUCCUUUCAGCAUUUGACAACUUCAAAGAGGUGUGUAAGGAGAAGCAUCGCUUUGAGAGACUGAUGGAUUACUUCCGCAGUGAGGAGGGAAACAUUGACUACAUGGUUGCUUGCAUGCAGUUCAUCAACAUUGUGGUGCACUCAGUGGAGGACAUGAACUUCAGAGUCCAUCUGCAGUAUGAAUUCACCAAGCUUGGACUGGAUGAUUACCUGGAGAAAUGUAAACAUACAGAGAGUGACAAGCUGUCGGUGCAGAUCCAGGCCUACCUGGAUAACGUGUUUGAUGUGGGAGGUUUGCUGGAAGAUGCGGAGACGAAGAAUGCUGCUCUGGAGAAGGUGGAUGAACUGGAGGAGCACUUGUCCCAUGUGACAGAGAAGCUACUGGAGGUUGAGAAUGAAACAAUGAUGAAAGUAGCUGAUCUGGAGAAGGUGCUCCUUCAGAAAGAUAAGGACAUGCAUGCAAUAAGGGAGACGUACGAGUCGACCAACACCCAGGUCACCACACUGAGGAGGGUGAUCAAGGAGAAGGAUGCUGCCUUCCAGAGGCACUUCAACAUCGAGAGGAGGCUGCUGGAGCUCGAACAGCAAGGCACCAUCCGUUUACACAAGAAGGCUGAUGGAGAUAUUGCCAUUGAGCCGCUGGGUGUCGGGGGUGGUGUUGGGAGUAGUGGCCUUGGGAUCCCACUGGGGGACAUUAGGCAGCUCUCUUUGGGUUCAACAGCUCGAUUUACAGAACCAGGAGGACCAGACACCAGUUUACCACCAGCCAGCGAAGCCCCUCCACCUCCUCCGCCACCUCCACCCCCUCCUCCUCCUCCUCCUCUUCCCUCAGCCCUAGGCCACUGUGCACCAGCCCCACCACCACUACCUCCCCUCGCUCCACCUCUGCCGGAUGCUUCUCCAUCAGUUAUCCUGAGUUUGGGUCUGUCAGCUAUCAGGAUCAAGAAGCCCAUCAAGACCAAGUUCCGCCUGCCAGUGUUUAACUGGACGGCCUUGAAGCCCAAUCAGAUCAACGGCACAGUCUUCAACGAGAUUGAUGAUGAACGUGUGCUAGAGGAGCUGGAUCUGGAAAGGUUUGAGGAGCUGUUUAAGACCAGAGCCCAGGGUCCCAUUGUGGAUAUUACCUGCACAAAGAGCAAAGUGGACAAGAAGGCAGUAAACAAAGUCAACCUUCUGGACUCCAAUCGCUCCAAGAACUUAGCCAUCACACUGCGAAAGGCUAACAAGACCACAGAGGAGAUCUGCAAAGCAAUAGAGAAGUUUGACCUCAAGGCCUUACCCGUCGACUUUGUUGAGUGUUUGAUGCGUUUCCUGCCCACUGAGAAUGAGGUGAAGGUGUUCCGUCAGUACGAGCGUGAGCGGCGUCCACUGGACCAGCUAGCGGAGGAAGAUCGCUUCAUGUUCUUCUUCAGCAAGAUUGAGAGGCUCACGCAGAGAAUGAACAUCAUCACCUUUGUUGGGAACUUUUCUGACAACAUCAACAUGCUCACGCCCCAGCUCAAUGCUGUCAUUGCUGCUUCGGCCUCAGUGAAAUCUGCACCAAAGUUGAAAAGAGUGCUUGAGAUCAUCUUAGCCUUGGGGAACUACAUGAACAGCAGCAAGCGAGGCUGCGUUUAUGGUUUCAAAUUACAAAGUCUUGAUCUGCUGCUGGACACAAAGUCUACAGACAGAAAGAUGACGUUGCUCCACUACAUAGCUCUCACUUUGAAAGAGAAGUACCCUGAACUGGCCAACUUCUACAACGAACUGCACUUUGUGGAUAAAGCUGCAGCAGUAUCUCUGGAAAAUGUGCUUCUGGACGUUCGAGAGCUGGGGAAAGGCAUGGACCUGAUCCGGAGAGAGUGUACUCUUCACGACCAUUCAGUCCUGAAGGGCUUCGUCCAGGCCAGUGACACACAGCUUGACAAGCUGCAGAAGGAUGCCAAGACAGCAGAGGAAGCCUUCAACAAUGUGGUGAACUACUUUGGAGAGGGUGCCAAGACAACUCCGCCCUCUGUGUUCUUCCCCGUGUUUGUGCGCUUUAUCAGGGCCUACAAGGAUGCAAUGGAACAAAACGAACAGAGGAAAAAGCAGGAGGAAGCAAUGAGAGAAAAGUUACUGGCUCAGGAGGCUAAACAGCAUGACCCCAAGGUCCAAUCCCAAAAGAAGAGGCAGCAGCAACAUGAGCUGAUUACAGAGCUGCGCAAGCGGCAAGCCAAAGACCACCGGCCUGUGUACGAGGGCAAAGAUGGCACUAUCGAGGACAUCAUCACAGGUGGGCCAGACAACACCCUAAAAAGACCCUGUGUGGGUGCCUGUAGCUCUGGACCUCCCAGGUCAAGGAUGACUGUGGUCCUUCACUGCUCGGCUCCUUUGAAGUGCACCUUGUGCUACGUAGUCCAGACACCACAACAUCUGGAGCACAGCACAUAGCAGCCUCCAGUUAUUCCAUGGAGGGAUGUUUUGUUAGAAAUGAACUGCACUAAAGCUGUUGAGCUUCAAUAUGAAGAUAGUUAGACUAACUUCAAAUGUACAUUCAAUUUAGUACACAGACUAUUUAUUUACAGGGUCCUUCUUUAAAGCCGCUCUGUGUAGAUUCUUUAACAAUAUAUAUUUUUCACUGUUAUUAUGUUUUUGUUUGUAGAAAAAAUACAGUGAAAACUGUUUGGGAAUUAUGCAAGUAUCUUUCCUGAAUAUUUACCACAAUGUGUCGCCAAAACAUUUUCAAAUUAGAGCUUUAAUGGAUGAAAAACUAAAUCAGCAUCUACAGCCUCAGGAUAGCACAUAAGCUAACUGAUGUUUCUGUCACGAUUAUUAAUCAGUGCUUAACAUAUAAAUAAUAUAAAUGUUGCAUUAAUGUGAUUUUUUUAGUAGUUAAUAAUGCUUCUAUGCGACUACUAUCAGAGCUGUUAGCUUAUUUUGCAACUGAUGCCUUUCCAAGGUAUAAUCGGUGUACUGUAAUCCAAUAAAUAUUUCCUUUGUCCCCUUUUUUAGCAUUCAUAAGCCGUAUACAAACAUUUAAUGAAUUGUUUAUAACACACUAAAAUAGAAACCUUUUAUAAUAUUUUGAGCCAUUUGUUUUUUCAGCAGCCUCCAUGUACGGGUGCCCACUAGAUGAAUUAGUUAGUCUUGGACACAUACAAUAAUUAACACUUCUAAUAGCUUCCAACUACAUCCUAGUGUGUUAUAAACCCUUUAUUAACAAGUUGUGUAGUGCUUAGAAAUACACAAUAGGGUAAAAUGUUGCCGCAUAAAAGGUUUGCCUCCAUAAAUCCGGGAUACAUCCAGUACAUAAGUAGCACAGUUUUGUUCCGCUCUCCUGAAAGACAUUUGAAGGUGGUCCAGUGUUUUGUUCCCCCCCAGAAGGGCAGUGUCUCAGGUGUGACAUGUUUUCUCUCCCUUACCCUCCUCUCCCAGUACUGAAGAGCGUGCCCUUCACAGCCCGCACUGCUAAACGCGGCUCACGGUUCUUCUGUGAAGCCAACCUCUGUGACGACGCCAACUGCUAGCCCCUCCCCCCUAAUGCCAAGGUUACCCAGGUGUCUCUCAUACGCCUCCUGACCCCACUGUGCAUGCAGCAUGAUCCCCGUCACCCACCCAAACCCCACCAACCACUGUGAACUAACUUGGGCCGUCAUUUGGUUGUUUGUGUUCUACUUCAGAGGAUUCCUAUGAGGUGAUAGGAGUCAGCCAAACCUCUUUGCCUGGCAAAAAAGUGUGACAAAACAUAUUUUUUGAGUGUGAAAAAUAUGUUGAUACUGUCACCGUACAAUCAUUAGCCAUUACUGUGAUUAGAGUAUCACCAUGCAUGACAAAUGUAAAAGGCUGUGCAUUAUUACAACAUAUUUCUUUCAUGAAGCUGAAUUUAACAAUCAUCAGAAGAGGUUUGGCUAAUUUACUGGUUUUAUUAUCGAUGCCUUGUCCCAUGAAACUAACUUGUUUGGUGUUGGUUUCCUGCUAACAUGUGACUCUUCUUUCCUCAACCACCACUGUUCAUUCUACCCCCUCCAGCUGAAAAGAAGAUUAAUGACAGUAUUUCCCACUCCUAAGAGAGGAUCUCCGAAACCAGCCUUUCCUGCGAGCUGAUGCGUUGAUCCGGAGCGGUUGGAAAAGACCCUAAACCACUCAUUGAUCACUUAUACUCCCCUCCCCACUAUAACCUCCCUCCCUGUGUCCAAAUGGUCCAUCUCUACCCUGAGGCUGCAGGUCACAAAGACUGAAAGGAGGGACAGGACAGAGCCCUUGUUAUAGCUGGGUAAUUUAUUUAUUUAUGGAGGACCUUUACAGCCACUUUACGUGAGCAGGCAUCAUUACAGGAGCACCAGGGGUUACUCCUGUCUCACUGCAAACACAAGACUUUCCCUACCCUGUUCCCACAGAGAACCAGGAGAACAACUACAAAACAGGUGAGGUGAGUACUGGCGCACCACAAAGCAGGAGGAACUUUGCUUUCAAUAACAAAGCGGCCGCCAACACGUGGAUCCUAUUCCCAAGAACGUUAAUUUCCUCAGAUUAUGCAGUCGUAGCAGGACUUAGACUGGGAGUCAGCCAAGGGAAGAUGCCAACUCUGCUGCGUGGAUGAUUGCCCUGAAGACUCAUGCAAAACCUUCCUCCAAAUAACAGAAGCUUCGAUAUUACAAUGAGACAUUUGAGGACGGUUUCCAAACUUUAAGCAACGUUGACACAUUCAAUCAAGACUAAAUAUUAACUAUUUAGAUUUCAGUCACCUUUUUUGGGAGGAAAAACCGUCAAUUCUGCUGGUUCUUUUGGACAAGCUAGCCAAACCAAAAUGUCUCCAAUGCCUCAUGUUUUGAUUAAGAAGUGCCUUUUUUGUGUCAGUGUUCUCUUGAAGCAGCCAUAAUUUGUUCAUUUUACAGCUUUCAUUUGUUUUUUCAAAGAUUGUAUUUUGUAUUGCCUUGUUCUAUAACAUUAGUCUUAUAAUACUGACAACAAUAUGCAGAAGUUUAAAUUUCCAGCUUUAAAGUCAUAAACCUACAACAUUAAGGGGAAUAAUGAUUUUACAAUUACUCUUUUAUUUACUUCUGGUGCAUCAGUGUCUUCAAGCUCAUAAUGAUUUAUAUUUUAUUCGUGCCUUGUCCAAGAAGUUCUUAAGAACUGAAUGUUAUAUGCCUUGACAACACUUUCUGUCAUACUUUAAGUGGCAUUAGGGAAGUGACAAAUGUAUGAAGAAGAUUCCACAUGGAGUGCUGAUGAAGGGCCCCGAGGACGUUAACCUGCUAUAGAUGUGGUGAUGGAUGAAGGAUGUGUCCAUUCCUAUGAGGUCUUGUUUUAAAAUGAUAUUUAAUCUCCUCUAUUUUAAUAGAGAUUAUGCCAUUUCUCCAAACAACUGUUGAAAUGUACAUAACAUUGGCAUAAAGGGAGGAUACAUCUUAACACUAAAUAAUUUGGCUCAACAUUCUAUGAGACACUAUUCUUUAACUGGGCAUUUAUAUUAAUGUACAUUCAAAUCAAGAAAUCUACUUUUUAGAAGAAAUUAUCCAUGCUAUUGUCUAUUGACUGAAAUAUGACACUUUCUGUUAAAUAAAUAAGAUGAAUAUUGUAA